CUGUCUCGGCUGUCACACCUGUCCUGAGGAAAGCCCUGUGGAAGGAGCUCAGUGCUGGGAUUCAGGACCCUGAGGCCACUGUGAAACUGCAAAUUCUUUCCAAGCUGUUGCCACCUCCGGGAAGCAAAGGGCUGCACAACCUGAUGGACUGCCUUCCUGCUGCUCCGGAGAGAGCAGGCAAUGAAGAGAGCUGGGCCGUGGCAGAUGCCAUAUCCACGGUGCUUAAAAACUCAGAGGAGCUGCAUUCCUGGAGGAGACAUCUCUUCUCAGCCUGCAUAAAGGGAUUAGUUGCCAUGUACAGCAGCAGUAAAGAUGAAGGCAAGCAAGAAGUGGAGAGGUCCAUGCUGCUGAGUGUGUGGUUGAAGAAGUGGACCCAGAUGACUGGUGUGACCUUGUGAAGACAGGGCUCAAGUACCGUUACAGAGAUGAAACAUUUCUGAAGGUCCUGAACGUUGCCAUCCAGUUACUAUACAUGAAAGAAUCCUCACUUAGAGCGUAGUCAAGCUCUCCAAACUACACAUGGGGGUCACACAGCACUCUCUAUUUUUGGCAGCCAUCCUGAGGUCAAGAGAAGAAGAUGGCAUGAGCGUCCAGACAAGAGGAUGGCUCUCUGUGGUCUCAGACAGUGUUCCCUGGGAGGAAGGGCAGCCUUUGCCUCGCCUGCACAGCUCAGGUGGAUGUGACAGAACUGGUGUGGCCUGACAAGGCAUGAGCAGCUGUCUGUGCACUGGAGUGCCUUGAAACCUUUCUCUGUGAGGUUUUGGACACGUUUCUCUUUGGGGGAGCCAGGGCUGGCACAAGGACUCAUGAAGGUGCUGCUCUGGCACUGGAGCUGUUGCCCUGUGGAGCCAUUUUAAAGGUCUGAUAAUGGAACAUUUUGGAGGCCGUUUCUGGAAUUCCAUUUGUAGCUGGAUCUCGCUCCAAGUGCAGCAGUCCAGGUGAGGGUUCUGACCUCUCCAGACUUGUGCUCACCUUGGUACAGCCUGGGGCUGGAGCAGUUUUCCAGGGAAGUGGAGAUGGCUGAGGAUGGGUGCUCUGGAAAGCAGGGACCUGCUGGGAUUUGCAUUUGCAAAGCUGCCGUGAAGUUUGUAAAACCAGCAGGAAAUUCUAAUUCCUGUGGUUUUUGGGGAGGAGGUGCAGGUCACCCUGAGAGCUAGAUCAGAACUGGUUUGUGGUAAGGAGUCUGAGGUGUGUAAGUGCCACAGCUGGUAUGAGCUGUGUGCUAAAUGCAGUCCCAGCCCCAGAGGGAGGCUGAUGGGCUCUGCUCAUUGCUGUCCCCAGCUGUCCCCAGCCCGCUGCUCCCCCGUGGAUCUGCUCUGGAUUCGGGCUGUCGGUGCUGGAGCGCCCUGCUCCCUGCAGGGCCCUGCCCCUAACCCACGCAGAGAGAGCCCUGCUGGCCAGAGUGAUCUUUUUUAUUCCUUUAUCCCUGUGCUGUUAGCAAGGAAGGGAUGGGACUGCUCUUGGCCGGGAGCACUCAGUGCUCAGGUAAACACCCGCCUCGGAGCGUGAGGGUUUGCAGAGCGAGCAGCUGCUGCGGCUCAGGAGCAGCCACAAGUUCUUUGUUCCAAGGCAGGCCAGAACUUUCUAACCCCGGGGUUUAUUUGGCUUUUCGAACCCAGCACCUCUGCUCAGUUCUGCCGCACUGAGGGUACUUUUGUUCAAUGCCUUCUGUUGGAACUUGUCAGCUCUCAGUGUAGCGCACACAGCCCCAGCCCUGCCCUGCAAACCCUUCCCCAUCGUGCCCACACAGUUUCUCUCUCACUCACUCGGGGCAGGCUCUUACUGACAGCCACAGAAACAGAAGUUAUUUUAUUUUAUUUUAUUCUUUUCCUGCGUAAUGCCCGUGUCUUGUAUUGGUACAUCAAUCCCAGCUUCUCCCGAGGCUGCAGAUCAAAUCUUUCAGUGUCUGUGGGAGUUUCUGGUUUUCCCAUUCCCAUGUCUUCCCCCUCUCUCUGUAUGAAAAAAAAAAUUAUUAGUGGAUUUGUUAAGCAUUUGUUGCAUAUAUUAACAUAAAUAAGGUGUUAUCAUUAGUAUUAUUAUUGUAAUAAUAUAAUUAAAAUGUAUACUUUUGUUACAAGAUUUUUUAAUUAUGGUGUUAAAUUUUAUUUAUUGUUAUGUUUUAUUAGUUAUUCUUAUUUUUGAUAUUUCUUAAAGUUGUACACUUUAAUAAGUAGAUUUGGUGUUUUAGAUAAAUGUAUACAUUUUAUUAAAUUUUUAUAUUUAUAUUUGUAUGUUAAUAAAAUAAAUUUUUUUGUUGGUUUUUUGUAAAACUGCGUAUUUAAUAGUUUUAUAUUUGUUUAAAAAGUUAUUUAGGGUAAGGGAUGUCGAAUUAGAUUGUUUAUUUAGAAAAUAUUUUAAUUGAUUUAAUUGUUUUAGUGUUGUUGAAGUAAUAGGUGGUAUAAAAACUGAUGCUACCAUUUUGAUUUUAAGUUUCAAGGCUUAAAAUUACUUUUAUAUUUUGAUUACUAUUGAUGGAUAAAUGACUUUUUUGUUUUAAAUUGGUAGCUAUUUUAAUAUUAAGAGUUAAUAAUGUAAGGGCUUUUUAAUUAUAUGGACUAUUUGUAAUGGUUUUUAUUGGUAUCUUAAGUAAGUAAGUAAAGAAUGGAUUUUUUUGAGUAGUGCUAGAUAAAUACAAAGUAUUUAAACUUGAAACUUUAGUUAAAGUUACUUAAAUGUUUGUUUUAGGUUGGUUAAUUGGUAAAGUGACAUAAUUAAAAGUAAAUAAAGUAAAUAGAGUAGAAGUAAAAUAUUUGAUAGAAUUUCAUAAUUUGUAAGUUACUAAAUAAGAUUUUUAUAACAUUGAUUUUUAUAUUUAUAAAGAAACUUCAAGUUUCUAUAUUUUGGUGGGUGUAGUACAAGAUGUUAGGUGUAAGUUGCAAUUCUUGUGUAAUCUGCGUUUGUAUUUCCAUAGUGUAAUUUGUCUUUGUAUUUACAUUGGUGUUUUAUUUGUGGAGUGGUGAGUGUGUUUUUUGUGUGAUCUGAUUUUAUGUUUCUCAUUGAAAUUUACUUGGGGUUAUGUACUUGUUGAGAUAUAAGUAAACUUUAUGUUUUGAUAUGAGAAAUAAUAAGUUGUUAUAAUUUUUCAGUUAUAAGUAUGAAGAAAUGCAAGAGUAAAAUAAUGUAUGUAGUAAAGAAGAAAUUGAUAAUAAUUAGGAAUUACUUAGAUAAUAUCUAUAAUUAGUAACAUAGGUGAAAUUAUAUAAUUAGUAAGUAUUAAAAGAUUGUACAUACUUUUAGCAUUUAUAACAGUUGAUAAAUGUUAAAUUAGUGGUAAGUUAAAUCAUUAUGUGUGGAUAAUGAUUUUUUAAGUUUAUUUUAAAAAUAAGUUUAUUUGUUAUAUUGUUAAAUUGUUAAGUUAAAAUUAUUUGAAUUUAUUUUUGAUGUAGAAAAUAUUUGGGUUUGUUGUUAAUUAUUUUAUUUAGGUAGAGUUAGGGUUAGGUUAUAGUUUAAAUUUUAAUUGGUGAAUGUUAUUUAAUAUAUUUUUAUAUAAUGUUUUUAAAAAUAGUAGUUAAGAGUAAAAAUGUUAGGAUUAAAGAUUAAUUACAUUAUUUAAUAAUUGGAUUUUUUUAGAAGUUUUUUAGAAUAGAGAUGCUUUGAAUAUAGUAAACUUCUUUUUAAAGAUUUGAAAGUGGUUAUGGACAGGAUUGUGAGUUUGGAUUUGGAUAUUGAGAGUGUGAAGGUGGAGGAAAUGUAUGAGAGAGUGAUUACUUAGUGUGAAACUUAGAAAAAGAAAUUAAUGUUGUAGUUGGAUUUUGUAUUCAAGUGAUUUUGUAAUAAUAACUGAGGAAAGUGAUAAGAUUAACAGUUUGGAGGAGGUUUUUAAUGAAAUACCUUUUUAAUCUUGAAAAAUAUUAAAAAUUAUGAGAUAACAUUAAGUUAAAUUAUAGAGUUAGUGUAGAGAUUAGUUAGAGAAUUAACUUGGUUUAAGCGCUGUAUAAGUUGAGAAUAAAAAAGUAGAGAUUAGAAAUUUUAUGUGGUUUUUAGAUCAUUAUAUAAAGAGAUAAUAAAGUAUAUGAAAGUUGGUUGUAAAUAUUAUAACAAUAUUUAAUAAAUAUUUAUUAUUAUAAAAAUUAAUAUAUUGAUAUAAUAUAAUUAGUAUAUUAGUGGUAAGUGUUUGAAGAAGUUAGGAUAACUUUUAAAAAAUAUUUAUAUAUUAAGGAAAUAGAGUAAAAUUUUUAAACAGCAUGAUAUGAAUAGUAAUUGCUAUUUUUUGGUGUUACUUAUAAAAGAUAAGAGUAGAAAUUGUAAUGAAGUACAGAAUUUUUGAUGAAAUUGAUGAUAUAAUACACUGUACUUUUUUUUACUUCUGAAUAGGUGUUUGUCAGUGUUUUCUUUUAGUUGUUUUAAUUGGAGGUGUUUUAUUUUUUAAGAAAAUUAACCAUAUACUGUAUAGUUUAGAGAAAUGAUUUUUUUAAUAAAAUUUAGCAUAAGUUAUAUUAAAUAACAUUUAAAUUUAGACUGAAUGAAUUUUGAUAGUAAGGAAUAAUAAACUAAAUUUUAAUUGAUAAAAAGAAAAUGUAUUUGUUUAAAUGUAUUGACACUUAAUUUUGUU
ensembl:lncRNA